rnacentral:rRNA from 1 species
GAUCCUGGCUCAGGAUGAACGCUGGCGGCGUGCCUAACACAUGCAAGUCGAACGAAGGCAAUCAGAAUGAAAUUUUCGGAUGGAUUUCUGGUUGACUGAGUGGCGGACGGGUGAGUAACGCGUGGAUAACCUGCCUCACACUGGGGGAUAACCAGUUAGAAAAUGGCUGCUAAAUACCGCAUAAGCGCACAGUACCGCAUGGUACGGUGUGAAAAACUCCGGUAGGUGUGAGAUGGAUCCG